AAACGACUGCUAAGACUGGAUAGGAGACAAGAGGGCAUCUUCUUGUUUUUAAAAGACCUAGCAAUAGGUAUGCUUAGGGAGGAGCUUGCGUCACAUUAGUUAGUUGGUGGGGUAAAGGCCUACCAAGACUAUGAUGUGUAGCCGGGCUGAGAGGUUGAACGGCCACAUUGGGACUGAGACACGGCCCAAACUCCUACGGGAGGCAGCAGUAGGGAAUUUUCGGCAAUGGAGGAAACUCUGACCGAGCAACGCCGCGUGAACGAUGAAGUAUUUCGGUACGUAAAGUUCUUUUAUUAGGGAAGAAUAAAUGAUGGAAAAAUCAUUCUGACGGUACCUAAUGAAUAAGCCCGGCUAACUAUGUGCCAGCAGCCGCGGUAAUACAUAGGGGGCAAGCGUUAUCCGGAAUUAUUGGGCGUAAAGGGUGCGUAGGCGGUUAAAUAAGUUUAUGGUCUAAGUGCAAUGCUCAACAUUGUGAUGCUAUAAAAACUGUUUAGCUAGAGUAAGAUAGAGGCAAGUGGAAUUCCAUGUGUAGUGGUAAAAUGCGUAAAUAUAUGGAGGAACACCAGUAGCGAAGGCGGCUUGCUGGGUCUUUACUGACGCUGAGGCACGAAAGCGUGGGGAGCAAACAGGAUUAGAUACCCUGGUAGUCCACGCCGUAAACGAUGAGUACUAAACGUUGGGUAAAACCAGUGUUGAAGUUAACACAUUAAGUACUCCGCCUGAGUAGUACGUACGCAAGUAUGAAACUUAAAGGAAUUGACGGGACUCCGCACAAGCGGUGGAUCAUGUUGUUUAAUUCGAAGGUACCCGAAAAACCUCACCAGGUCUUGACAUGCUUCUGCAAAGCUGUAGAAACACAGUGGAGGUUAUCAGUUGCACAGGUGGUGCAUGGUUGUCGUCAGCUCGUGUCGUGAGAUGUUGGGUUAAGUCCCGCAACGAGCGCAACCCUUAUUGUUAGUUACCAGCACGUAAUGGUGGGGACUUUAGCAAGACUGCCAGUGAUAAAUUGGAGGAAGGUGGGGACGACGUCAAAUCAUCAUGCCCCUUAUGACCUGGGCUACAAACGUGAUACAAUGGCUGUUACAAAGGGUAGCUGAAGCGCAAGUUUUUGGCGAAUCUCAAAAAAACAGUCUCAGUUCGGAUUGAAGUCUGCAACUCGACUUCAUGAAGUUGGAAUCGCUAGUAAUCGCGAAUCAGCAUGUCGCGGUGAAUACGUUCUCGGGGUUUGUACACACCGCC
rnacentral:rRNA from 1 species